AGAAAACAAACAAACAAAAGAAUCAAAACCUGGUCCCAGUGGAGCGCUUAUCAUUGAUCUCAGGAUUUGGUCCAAAAAUAAUAUUUGUUUAAAUGUGCUCCGUUGCCAUCAUGUACAGCAUCUAUUUAAUUAUAAGCACUAUGGCAGCACACAUUACAGGAUUAGGGAGCAGAGGGAAUUUUAUUCCUGAGUUACUCCAGCAAUUCGCAGCUAUCUCAUUUUUCUGUUCCCAAUGGCCAAACCACCAGACAAUAAAUGUUGAAGAUGCUGAACCUGAGCAGUCUUCUGUGAGGUGACAUAUUUGUUUCUUAAAUCGCAGCGACUGAUCUCUCUGGCAUGUGGAAGAGGAGAAAAAAACUCAUACUCCAGUAGCAGCACCAUCGCAGCCCUGAGUUUUUUCUGACUAUUGGGGCAAAGCCACCUGGCGCUUGCUCUGAUGCUUCCUUCAGCACCACAUGUGGCCAACAGCAGUGCGUACAGAGAUGGUGGGGGCUCCUCUGUGCACCAGGACUGGAGGUGUUCUGCCUCGAGAUUCACAAACUGCUGGCUCCAGGAGUGAAGGCAGCGAAUGUAUUCCUGCGGCAGAAUCUGUGUCAGAACUGUAACUUGAAAAUCCAGCUGUUGCCUCCAGCAGCCGGGAGCACCUGCAGCGCCCAGAGGAAGGUGACAGUCCUGUCCCCAGCAGGCAGUGCCAGAAGCUGCCCGUCGCAGAGCUCACUGCCCGGUGUGGUAAACUGCUUCAGGACAGAGAGGGUACAUCUUCCUCCGGUAAAGUCCCCCAGGGACUGCACCAAAUACAUUUGAACACACCCCACCCAUGGAACUUGUGGAGUGCACAUAUAUUUUGACAUAACCAUUGAAAAUGUGCCUAAAGCUUAUAAAAUAAUUGUAAGUAGCAAGUUUUUCAAAUUUCUCUGUAGUCUUGCAGUGCUGGUUAUAGAAUCAAGUUUAUUUGUAAUGUUGCUGCCUUCUUCCAUACUUCAUUUUUCAUGUUCAAAUAUCUGUCUACCUUUGACAGGAAAAUGAAUAAUUUAUCACAGGAUGCUUGCUAUUCAAGUAAAAGCAAAAGAAGGAAAUAGAGAGUUUACACAACUUGAAUCAAGAGUGCUGUGGUAAACAUUUACACUUACAACCCCACAGAUUGGCCUUAUACAACCUUUAUUUUACUCUACAAGAGCAAACUCAGUGGAACAGCUUCUAUUUUUGCUGAAAGUUAAGCUGUAAAAGCAGCAGCAGCAGGUUCUCAGAAAGGCGGAGUGCUGAUCCAGCGCCCCUUAAUAGGGCUCAGCUUUGGAAAGCACCGAGAGUCACUGCAAACCAAUGUUGCAGAAGGCCACAAACAUCACAAGGAUCAGUGCUUUGAACAUCCAGCUUCACUACAGGCAAUGAGGGAGCCACAAGAUUGAAACCCACUUGCAAGGUGCAACACCUGGCACUGCUCAGAUUGCUGCUCAACGCCGUGUGAAACCUUCCCUUCGUUAAUCACACACUUGAGCAUCACCGACUCGAUGUAGGCAUCUUUAAACAUCUGCAUUGUAUGAAUUCGCAGGUUUCUAACAAAGAUAGUGCGCUUGCUAAUUUGUGACAGAUGGCACCAAGUUAAAAACCCAAUCCUGACAGGUCCUUCUCCCAGCACCACCAACUUCAUAAACUUCAAGUACACGUAAUGAAUGUUCAAAACAGGAGUUGGGAGAAGGUGGGAGAAUAUAGGGCCUAAAGGAGAAGAAACUGCUUCUUAAACAAACUGUUUCCACAGAGACACUGGGGCAAGAAACAAGUUAAAUAUUUCAUUAAAACUACCGAAUUCUGAAUGUUUUUUUUUUCAUUGGUUAUUCCAAACACCAGUCUGCAACUGCAACUGUAGAAAUCAACUUGACAAGGAUUUGCUCUGUGUCUCAAAUUAUGUUUGGCAUAUCUCAGUAGAGGACCAUAUAUUCAACCUCUCAGUGCAUUUCAGAAGAUCUAAGUGCUGUUUCCAUUUUCUUUCCAGAUCUUGCUCACAAUUCUCCUUCAGUCCAGACAAAUUUAAUUACUUGUUGAUUAGAAAUAGUACGCACAACCUGUUAUUACCAUUAAGUCUUAUUUACUUUGACUGGUUUGUAGAAUUUUCUUAAUAACGUGUAGGGAUGCAAAUUAAAUAAAAAGAAUCAUUUUGCAUCA
rnacentral:lncRNA from 1 species